GGCCACACCUGUGGCAUAUGGAAGUUCCUGGGCGAGGGGUUGAGUUGGAGCUGCGGCUGCCACAGCAACAGCACAUAGCCACAGCAACACAGGAUCCAAGUUGCAUCUGUGACCUACACAGCAGCGCUAGAUCCUUAACCCACUGAGCAAGGCCAGGGAUCAACCCCGCAUUGUGGAUACUAGUCGGGUUCGUUUCCGCUGAGCAACAACAGGAACUCCUGCUUUAGAGCUUCAUCCAUUGCUUCUACUGCUGCAGAAUUUUCUAGAAUGUGCGACCCCUGUCAUGGGUCACUUACUCCCAGGUGACACCAAGACCUUCCCACUCCCCAUCAUGACAAUAAUGCUGCCAAGAUCAUCUUCAAACCUGCCCAGUGUGGCCCCAUUCAGAAAGUUCUGUGUGUUCUGAGCACACUUGGUGCCCUGUAGCCCCUCCCUCCUGCCAGACUACCCAGUGCUUGCUUUGGUUGGUUUGGCUCUGAUAACUAAAGAGGAGUCCCAAUGCCUCUGCAGGGGCUCCUUAGCAUUUUGGAAGCUCUUUCACCUGUAAACUCCAUUCAUACCCUUAAUUCACCUUCUUUUCUGUUGAGAUCUCUGCCUUUUCCUGGCCAGUGUGCAGGAGCUCCCUGUAUAUUCUAAAUGUUAAUUACCCCGACGCUUUGAGACCUUGUAAAUCUCUCUCUCCAUUUGCCAGCUGCCUACUGCCUUUGCCCGGGGUGCUCUCUAAUGAACAGAGCCCUUAACUUUGAUGCAAACUUGGAAAACGUGAGGACAGCAACCGUUUCUCAAUCAUACAAUUUCAUACAUGAGCGCUGACAACAUAUAUCCAUGGAGUUAGGUGCUUGGACACAAAGAGGAAUCAGAGCUUUUGACUUUUGAGCUUUCAGCCUCCUAGAAACACUGACUUCCCAUCAACUGUAACAUGGACCCAAUGACCCAGUGGGUCAUGCAAGGUGUGGUGGGGGGUUAAAGGUUUCAGCGUCAAAGUCAAGGCUGAGUGAGCCUUGAUAAAUGAGCCUGGCAGGCAGCCCUGAGGGGAGAACAUUCCAGGCCAAUGAACAGCACUUGUAAAAGUCCAAUAUGGGGAACCACAAGGGACCCAGUAUGGGGGGGGGGCAUAGGACAAAGGAAGAAAGUCACAGAGGCUGGACAAACGGGAAGGGACCAUGUGCAGAAGGAGCUCAGAUUUUCUCUAGUGCCAUCCUUGCUCUCCCCACAGCCACUGGUGAGUUGCCUUAGACACGCCUGCACCCAAGGAAGAGGCCUGGUUCAGGGACCCUAAGAAGUCUGGGCUCACCUUGCUACACAGCAAGGUACUGAAGUCUCACAGAAACCUACAGACAGAAUAUUCUAGAAAGAAAAGGUUCAUGAGCAUCCAAGUUAAACGCCCAAGGUGGAUAAGAGACACCCAUUGGACAGGUCUGGAUUGUCCUGAAUGACCGGAAGACGUCCCUUCCUGGCCUCCGCUAGAAGCAGUUCUGGCUGCUGCUCUUGCCUUGAUGAAAGUUCCCAGACACACAAUUCCCCAACUGCCAGGGGUGCCUGCGCCGGAAAUGUACCAAAUAAAGUCGUUUAGUGACACAGCUGAAUCCUACCCCAGACCCCAGCAGGAUCUCUGCCAGCCAGCUGUUUCCUCCUGAAUCUAAACCAUUUUCACACUCAGCAAUGGUAGUAUUUUGCAGGGGGGUGGGGGGGGAGCCAUUUGCAGAGAAUGUUUUACUCCAAGCUAUGUAACGACCCUUAUUUUUUCCAGCCAGAGAAGAAAUCCAUAUGCACAGACACAUGGUGGCCAAGUAU
rnacentral:lncRNA from 1 species